rnacentral:lncRNA from 1 species
ACUAUUUAGCCUUUAAGUGCAACCCCACUGUGCAGGUGAUCUGCCAGAGACUUUGCCAACUGGUCUGUCCUCCAAUCAAUUCUUCUUCCAGCUCGCAUCGCUCCUCCUCAGACCAUCAUCCAUCUCCUCAUCUGACCAACAGGAAAGAGCCAAGAACAGGUGAAUUAUCCAGCAGUGGUGGUUCAUGACUAUUACCACAGACAGAAGAAUUGUACAUUUGGGUUCUGGCUUGGAGGAAGGAACAAAACGAAACCGGUGAAUGUACCCCAUAACCACCACACUUGGCUAGGACCCAGAGCAUGCAGUAAGCGACCAAAGAAUGGGACACCCACCCAAUAAGUGUGAGACCAGAUCUCUACACCAAGAAAUACUCCAAAGGGCAUAACUCCUGAUGCUGAAGAAAAAAGCAAAAAACAAAAACAAAAACCACAGCAUAAACAGCCAAGACAGAAUGUCUCCUCCAGAAGCCAGAAACAUAUUGCAAUAGGUCCUGAAAAGGAGCAAUUUGGCUGAAGCACAAGACAAACACUUCAAAUAGCAAUUAGGAUUGUGUUAAUGACCUUAAAAGGGAUAGGAAUAAAUUCCCUAAUGAGACCAUGACCGCAAAGAAUAUAGUUCAAUGAACAAUGAAA